rnacentral:tRNA from 1 species
GUAGAUAUAGUUUAAACAAAAUGUUAGAUUGUGAUUCUAAAAAUAGAGGUUAAACCCCCCUUAUCAACC